CAGCAGCCAUCCGACAAAACAGCUACAUUAAAGGAAUCUACACUACAGAAACCAAAAACACAAGGAGGACUUGAAGCUCCACAUUUAUACCACUACUUUUUGGCCAAUCAGCUCCAAAAUAUAUACAAAUGGAUUCAUCCUAACCCAUCAGAAAGCACAUGGCUAGAUGUGGAACAGUCAGUUUGUAAGGACAUUAACAUUUCAGAUUUACCCUUCUAUAAUCAGACAAUCAAAAAGCAUAACUGUUUUAAAACACCAACAAUAGCCGCAGCUCUGACAGCCUGGUGGAAAUUUAACAAGAAGCCACUCAACUUGCGCACAUGGGUAGAUAAGGGCAUCACACAACUUCAACACAUCCUCCUUAAUAAUAACUUGGCACCAUUUUCCCACUUGGUCCAGAAAUACGGCAUUGGGAGUAAUUGUUUUUUGGAAUACUUACAAAUCAAAUCAUCUAUUCAAUCAAAAAUUGACACUCAGACAAUUAAUCUAGACCUUCCCCCUCCAAUCUCAGAGCUAAUUAAUAUAACCUCCCCAAAAAAACUACUCUCCAAAAUAUAUAAAAUAAUAUCCAAAUCAGACAAUACAUUAAGCUUACCCAGUGCUAAAUGGGAAUCGGACUUAUCCAUUGCUCCCAAUGCUGCUUUCUGGACACAAAUGUGUAAAAAUAUCACCUUCAUGACAAAAAACGCCAACUUACAACUUAUACAAUAUAAAGUACUUCAUAGAUCUCACCUUACUGGGCAGAAAUUAUUUAAAAUGGGUUUUACUGCCAGAAACAUGCUCACAUUCCACAAAAACACUCCAGACACCUAUUUACACGCUAUUUGGGAUUGCACCUCAGUUAAAAAAUUCUGGGAAAAUGUUACUAACUCACUAUCCAAAUUUAUGGGAUGUCACAUCCCGCUGUCCCCCUCCCUUUGUAUAUUAGGUGACAUAUCCAUAAUCAAUCUAAACAGUACAAACAGUCAAUUACUCCUAGUAGCUCUAACUAUCGCCAAGAAAACUAUCCUCAUGAACUGGAAAUCAAGGAACACCAUACACAUUACAACUUGGAAAAAUUUAUUAAUAGAGUACAUAUCCAUGGAAAACUUGUCUACCUCCACUCAAAAUAGUAUACUAGAACUACACCCUUCUUGGUUAUCUCUCCUUAAUUAUAUUGAAAUUUCUCUUUCUGUCUCUCUCUCUCUCUCUCUCUCUCUCUCUCUCUCUCUCUCUUGCUGCUUCUGGACCCGGGCUGGCUGUAGCAUACUGGUCCCUACCAUGUAUGGUUUUGAUUAG
rnacentral:lncRNA from 1 species